CCUCGCUCUCUCUAUCUUGCUUCCCGAAGGUCUCCUUCUCACAUUCUCUCUGCAACUCUCUUAACUGACGUCCAAACCACCCAAACGUGACUUGUAACCUACACAUUUGAACUCACCUCAACCCUAAGAACACAACCAUGUAACCAGAUCUCGAUUUGGUUGAGGUUUGACUCACCAACUCGGAAGCUCUGACUCGGUGAGUGUUGGAUCAAAGAUUUUCAGUUUGAGUCCCAACAUUUUAGGAUUCGGGGAAGCGUCUGCACAACUCCUCGAGGUUCCUAGGACAAGUCUGAGGAAGUUUUGACGUGAAACCACCUAGUUUCAAGAAGUCUCAAUUUUUAUGUCCUUUUUGAGGCAUUUUCAGGCCACAUCCGUCCACUUUUUGGACUCCAAAAAGAUUCCGGCCAACCAAACUACGACGGACGAUGGAAUCGACGAGGAUCAUCACCGGAGAAGAUGAUGGAAUAUUUUGUCAAAGUUGACGGAAUAUUCUAACGGCGUCAGGCGAAACGUAUCCCAAGGAUGUACGGGGUUAAGCAAGGCUCAGAGGCUUCAUUUCAAUUGCAUAUCUGUGCGUGGAUAUUUUGUUUUUAUACCUAUACAUAGUUAUAGUUUCCAUAAAUGUGUAGUUACUUCAUUUUUACGCUUAUAUUGCCAAGUAUCGUUAUUGUGAUAUUAAAUGUGAUAAAUGCUGCUAUAUGGUUGGGAUAUUA